GGAUGCGAUCAUACCAGCACUAAAGCACCGGAUCCCAUCAGAACUCUGUAGUUAAGCGUGCUUGGGUAAGAGUAGUACUAGGAUGGGUGACCUCUUGGGAAGUCCUCGUGUUGCAUUCC
rnacentral:rRNA from 2 species